AUUGAACGCUGGCGGCAGGCCUAACACAUGCAAGUCGAGCGGGGUUUUCGGACCUAGCGGCGGACGGGUGAGUAAUGCGUAGGAAGCUGCCCGAUAGAGGGGGAUACCAGUUGGAAACGACUGUUAAUACCGCAUAAUGUCUACGGGCCAAGUGUGGGACCUUCGGGCCACAUGCUAUCGGAUGCGCCUACGUGGGAUUAGCUUGUUGGUGAGGUAAUUGCUCACCAAGGGGACGAUCUCUAGCUGGUUUGAGAGGAUGAUCAGCCACACUGGAACGGGGACACGGGCCAGCCGCCUACGGGAGGCAGCAGUGGGUAAUAUUGGACAAUGGGCGCAAGCCUGAUCCAGCCAGGCCGCGUGUGUGAAGAAGGCCUUCGGGUUGUAAAGCACUUUCAGCGAGGAGGAAGGGUGGUGUGUUAAUAGCACAUCAUUUUGACGUUACUCGCAGAAGAAGCACCGGCUAACUCUGUGCCAGCCGCCGCCGUAACAC
rnacentral:rRNA from 1 species